GGGGGAGAGAGUCAGAGGUUGGUGGUCUGGCGUCACGUCUGCUUUGGUUGUGGUUGUGGGGUUCCCUCGCUCAAAACGAGCAUAAAAGUUGUUGAGCUCGUUGAGGAAGGAGACAUCAGAGGAUGCGGGGGAGGGUUUGGUGGUCCUGUAGUCUGUGAUGGUCUGGAGUCCUUGCCACAUGCGUCGGGGGUUGGAGUUGGAGAAGUGUUCUUCUACCUUCUUUUUGUAAUGGUGUUUGGCUUUUUUGAUGCCCUUCUUUAGAUUAGCCCUGGCUGUACUGUAGGCGUGUGCAUCUCCUGACCUAAAGGCAGUGUUGCGGGCCUUCAGGAGGAGACGAACAUCCCGGUUCAUCCAAGGCUUCUGGUUGGGGUACAUGGUGAUCCGUUUCUGGGUGGUGACACUAUUAAGCCCUUAUUUAUAAAUGUUUACACAAUAAUAGACACCGUGUGCUCUGUGACAUUGUAGUCUUCUACUUCUGCUUCCAUCGGUUUGCAUUUUAAACUCCCAGCCUUUGACGCCAUCACCGAGGCAUACGACAAUCUAGUGGGGGAGGAUGUGGUGAAAAUCCGACAGCUGUGGAUGGUCACAGAGUGUUACCAAUGGCGCGGCUGAUGUUUCUCUGAAAGACUGAUUCUUUCUAAAUAAUAUAAGCCGUUCAUAACAACCUGAGAGACUGGGAGUUUAAAAUGC
ensembl:lncRNA